UACGUAGGGUGCAAGCGUUGUCCGGAAUUAUUGGGCGUAAAGCGCACGUAGGCGGAUGUGCCAGUCAGGGGUGAAAUCCCGGAGCUCAACUCCGGAACUGCCUCUGAUACAGCACGUCUUGAGUUCGAGAGAGGUGGGUGGAAUUCCUAGUGUAGAGGUGAAAUUCGUAGAUAUUAGGAAGAACACCGGUGGCGAAGGCGGCCCACUGGCUCGAUACUGACGCUGAGGUGCGAAAGCGUGGGGAGCAAACAGG
rnacentral:rRNA from 1 species